rnacentral:tRNA from 1 species
GUGUAGCUCAACAGGACAGAGCGCCGUGUGUCGCGAGGUUCCCUUCUUAGGUUUGCGGCCGGGAGGGAGUGCCGACACGGAGGUGCGGGUUCGAAUCCCGCGACAACGGGCGUCCA